rnacentral:rRNA from 1 species
GUCGCUGGCUCAAAUGAGCAUGUGCACGUCUUUUGCUGCUUGCUUCAUUCUCUUUUCCACCUGUGCACUCUUUGUAGACACUCGGGAUGGGAGAGAGGCUGUCAUUGAUUGUCGACCUCUCUUGAUAUCAGAAAGUCUGGGUGUUUAUGUGUUUUUUGACAUACGCAGUUUGAAUGUCUAUAGAAUGAAAUGUAGGCUUUUGUCAGCCUUUAAAUGAUAAAAUACAACUUUCAACAACGGAUCUCUUGGCUCUCGCAUCGAUGAAGAACGCAGCGAAAUGCGAUAAGUAAUGUGAAUUGCAGAAUUCAGUGAAUCAUCGAAUCUUUGAACGCAUCUUGCGCUCCUUGGUAUUCCGAGGAGCAUGCCUGUUUGAGUGUCAUUAAAUAUCUCAAAAAACUUGUGCUUUUUUGGCAUGGGAUUUUUGGACAUUGGGAGUUGCCGGCUGCUGAUAAAGUGGUGGGCUCUUCUGAAAAGCAUUAGUUGAGGAGCUUUGCACUCUAUUGGUGUGAUAGACUAUCUAUG